rnacentral:rRNA from 1 species
GAUAUGAGCAUCACCAACGAAUUUCACUCUUCUUCUGGCCUAGGAGCGGGAAGCCUGGAGGUUGGGCAAGUUUUCCCAGAUAAGAAGUCUGCUUACCAGGCAAUGGGUAGCUAUGCAAUCGGCAUCCACCGCCAGCAUAGAGUGAAGCAGUCUGAUAAAAAAGAGUUGAAGGUCAUAUGCAUCCACACCGCGAAAGGUUGCCACGGAAGAGUUCUCGCUAGACUGAAGCCUGGGGUAUGUCAGUCAUGGCAUAUCACAAAAAUAGUGGAGCAUACCUGUGAGCAAACUGGGACUCUUUCAGAUCACUGCAAUGUGACAGCAAAAUUUGUGGCACAGACGAUGGAAACAAUUGUGCAGGGAAGUCUCAACAUUAGUGUUAGGGCUCUGCAAAAAGAUGCAGAUGAUCUAAUUGGA